ACAACAUUCGGACCGUCGGUCUACCGUGCAAAUAUCACCCGCUCGGUGGAAGAUCUUCCCUUUGUCGU
rnacentral:pre_miRNA from 1 species